UACGAAGGGGGCUGGCGUUGUUCGGAAUUACUGGGCGUAAAGCGCGCGUAGGCGGUUUUGCAAGCCAGAGGUGAAAUGCCUGAGCUCAACUCAGGAAUGGCCUUUGGGACUGCGAGGCUUUGAGGACUGGAGAGGUGAGUGGAAUUCCCAGUGUAGAGGUGAAAUUCGUAGAUAUUCGCAAGAACACCAGUGGCGAAGGCGGCUCACUGGCCCGGAACUGACGCUGAGAUGCGAAAGCGUGGGGAGCAAACAGG
rnacentral:rRNA from 1 species